GUAGGUGGCAAGCGUUGUCCGGGAAUUAUUGGGGCGUAAAGCGCGCGCAGGCGGUUCUUUAAGUCUGAUGUGAAAGCCCACGGGCUCAACCGUGGAGGGUCAUUGGAAACUGGAGAACUUGAGUACAGAAGAGGAAAGCGGAAUUCCACGUGUAGCGGUGAAAUGCGUAGAGAUGUGGAGGAACACCAGUGGCGAAGCGGCUUUCUGGUCUGUAACUGACGCUGAGGCGCGAAAGCGUGGAGAGCAAACAGGAUUAGAUACCCUGGUAGUCCACGCCGUAAACGAUGAGUGCUAAGUGUUAGGGGGUUUCCGCCCCUUAGUGCUGCAGCUAACGCAUUAAGCACUCCGCCUGGGGAGUACGGCCGCAAAGGCUG
rnacentral:rRNA from 1 species